rnacentral:rRNA from 1 species
UGACAGAAUGCUUAACACAUGCAAGUCGACUCGAGUCUUCGGACUGGUGGCGCACGGUGGAGUAACGCGUAAGAACUUGCCUCUUAGACCGGGACAACAUCUGGAAACGGAUGCUAAUACCGGAUAUUAUGGCUUUUUCGCAUGGAGGAAUCAUGAAAGCUAGAUGCGCUAAGAGAGAGCUUUGCGUCCCAUUAGCUAGUUGGUGAGGUAACGGCCCACCAAGGCAAUGAUGGGUAGCCGGCCUGAGAGGGUGAACGGCCACAAGGGGACUGAGACACGGCCCUUACUCCUACGGGAGGCAGCAGUGGGGAAUAUUGGACAAUGGACCACAAGUCUGAUCCAAGCAAUUCUGUGUGCACGAUGACGUUUUUCGGAAUGUAAAGUGCUUUCAGUCGGGAAGAAGUCAGUGACGGUACCGACAGAAGAAGCGACGGCUAAAUACGUGCCAGCCGCGGC